GAGCAAUGAUGAAAAGGUUUAAUUACUGACCUUUGUCAUUAUGAAGGUUUCAACACUUGACGUGAGCUCA